CAUUUUGGCGCCAACUGGAAGCGGCAAAACAGUGUUAUUUGAGCUAUGUAUCUUAAAGCUCCUUUCCUGGUUCCUUUCUCAGGAUGGAAGGUUCCUUCAUAUGAAGGGUACACUGAAAACAGUCUCGACGUUUUUUGUGCGCACUGACAAGACACUAGCCUUUUUUUAGAUCAAUUGAUGGUCGAUUAGGUUGAACUAAUAUCAAGAACAUGUUCUCAAAAAUUGCUCACAGUUUGUGGAAACCUUGAACGCAUUGGGAUAUGACCUUGUUUCCGGUGGUACUGAGAACCAUCUGCGAGUCUUGGUCAAUCUGA